rnacentral:misc_RNA from 1 species
UAAGGAAGAACCUUAAUGGAAACGCUCGUUUAUCGAGCCUCUGCCUUUCGGUUCUCUUGGAACAAGAUGGAAGAAAGUCAUUCUUACCAUCGCGCAUACAUAAGCGGGAUCUGCCGCCUUCGUUUCUCUUUCUUCGUGGAUGAUUUAGUCUGCGCUCACGCGCCGUACCGCACCUGAAGGUGCUGGCGCUCCGCGAGGGCGCGGCACGAGCCGCGACGCGCAGUCGCGCUUGCGAGGCUGCGCCUCGGAUCGGCGGCGGCUUGCUGGGCGUAGCUAGGGCUUGUAGCUCAGUUGGUUAGAGCGCGCGCUUGAUAAGCGUGAGGUCGGAGGUUCAAGUCCUCCCAGGCCCACCACUAUCUUGUCAGGGGCCGUAGCUCAGCUGGGAGAGCACCUGCUUUGCAAGCAGGGGGUCGUCGGUUCGAUCCCGUCCGGCUCCACCAAGGUCUUGGUGGACAAGGUCAUCCAUAGAAAACAAGGUUUGCGGCAGGCUUUGGCUUGCUGCCUGUUCUGUUUGACAUCGUAAAGAGAAGAUUUGUUCAGACUCCUUUUGGAGCCUGGUCCAUUCCCGGAGGCUUCGGUCUUCGUGGUUGGCCUGGUGGCGAAAAAAGGUUUGUCGCGGUGAGACGCUCAAUCUCCCGCUUAUGAUGGGUUUGCCUAACCGCGCCCCUGGACAGGUCUCGAGAAGCUGGUCUUUUUGUGCCAGUGGCAUCUCUGCGCGAUCCCGAAGGGAUCGUCGCUGGGCGAUAAUUCCUUUGGAAUUACGCUGAGGUGGACAUUGGCAAUGAGAACGAUCAAGUGUCUUAAGGGCAAUUGGUGGAUGCCUUGGCAUGCACAGGCGAUGAAAGACGUGAUACGCUGCGAUAAGCUACGGGAGGUGCG